rnacentral:ncRNA from 1 species
UUGCUGAAAUGCAUGGUGGGAAAUCAGUGUGAAAUUCAUUGGCUGUACCUGCAACCGUAAAGUCGGAGCGCCACCCAGUA